rnacentral:tRNA from 1 species
GGACGAUUAGCUCAGUUGGUUAGAGUACUACCUUGACAUGGUAGGGGUCACAGGUUCGAAUCUUGUAUCGUCCA